CGGGGCGUAGCGCAGCCUGGUAGCGCGUCAGCUUUGGGAGCUGAACGUCGGAGGUUCAAAUCCUCUCGCCCCGACCA
rnacentral:tRNA from 1 species